rnacentral:rRNA from 1 species
GGCUCAGGACGACCGCUGGCGGCGUGCCUAAAACAUGCAAGUCGAACGGUGUAGCAAUACACAGUGGCGAACGGCGGAGUAAUACAUGAACAACGUGCCCUAAAGACUGGGAUAGUCAGGGGAAACCCUGGGUAAUACCAGAUGUGGCCACCACUCGGCAUCGAGAGGUGAUUAAAUGGUUUUUCGCUUUAGGAGCGGUUCAUGGCCUAUCAGGUAGUUGGUGAGGUAACGGCUCACCAAGCCGACGACGGGUAGCGGGUCUGAGAGGAUGACCCGCUCGAGUGGGACUGAGACACGGCCCACACACCUACGGGUGGCAGCAGUUGGGAAUCUUGCACAAUGGGGGAAACCCUGAUGCAGCGACGCCGCGUGGAGGAUGAAGGAUCUAGGUCUGUAAACUCCUUUUUCAGGGAAAGACUUAGGACGGUACCCUGAGAAUAAGGACCGGCUAACUACGUGCCAGCAGCCGCGGUAAGACGUAGGGUCCAAGCGUUGUCCGGAUUUACUGGGCGUAAAGAGCGCGUAGGCGGCUCGUUAAGUGUGAAGUGAAAUCUCCAGGGCUCAACCCGGAAACUGCUUUACAUACUGGCGAGCUGGAGUGAUGCAGAGGUUUGUGGAAUUCCUGGUGUAACGGUGAAAUGUGUUGAUAUCAGGAGGAACACCCAUGGCGAAGGCAGCAAACUGGGCAUCAACUGACGCUGAGGCGCGAAAGCGUGGGUAGCAAACAGGAUUAGAUACCCUGGUAGUCCACGCCCUAAACGAUGGAUACUAGGCGUAAGAGGUAUCGACCCCUCUUGUGCCGCAGCUAACGCAUUAAGUAUCCCGCCUGGGGAGUACGGCCGCAAGGUUGAAACU